UACGUAGGGGGCUAGCGUUGUCCGGAAUCAUUGGGCGUAAAGCGCGCGUAGGCGGCCCGGUAAGUCCGCUGUAAAAGUCAAAGGCUCAACCUUUGAAUGUCAGUGGAUACUGCCGGGCUAGAGUCCGGAAGAGGCGAAGUGGAACUCCUGGUGUAGCGGUGGAAUGCGCAGAUAUCAGGAAGAACACCGACGGCGAAGGCAGCUCGCUGGGACGGUACUGACGCUGAGGCGCGAAAGCGUGGGUAGCAAACAGG
rnacentral:rRNA from 1 species